rnacentral:rRNA from 1 species
AACGAACGCUGGCGGCAGGCCUAACACAUGCAAGUCGAGCGCCCCGCAAGGGGAGCGGCGGACGGGUGAGUAACACGUGGGAAUUUUCCUCAAGGUACGGAACAACUCAGGGAAACUUGGGCUAAUACCGUAUGAUGUCUAGCGACCAAAGAUUUAUCGCCUUGGGAUAAGCCCGCGUCAGAUUAGGUAGUUGGUGGGGUAACGGCCUACCAAGCCUGCGAUCUGUAGCUGGUCUGAGAGGACGAUCAGCCACACUGGACUGAGACACGGCCCAGACUCCUACGGGAGGCAGCAGUGGGGAAUCUUGCGCAAUGGGCGAAAGCCUGACGCAGCCAUGCCGCGUGAAUGAUGAAGGUCUUAGGAUUGUAAAGUUCUUUCGCUCGUGACGAUGAUGACGGUAACGAGAGAAGAAGCCCCGGCUAACUUCGUGCCAGCCGCCGCCGUAACAC